rnacentral:lncRNA from 1 species
CCCAUCCUCACAACCCCUCAAUUUCUAAACCUAACCCCAAGAACUCAAACGUUAACCCAUACUGCUUCCCCCUUUCAUUUUCUUCUUCGCAAAAAUUACUUCUGGCAAUUUUUUCAGCCCACGAUUUUCUUCUUCACAAAAUCAUUUUCGGCAAUUUUUCCCAUUUUUGGAAGGAAGUUUAGAUGAACUUAGACCGUAAAUCUGUAAUUAGAACAUUGAUUUUCUUCUGGACAAUUUCUUCUUCCACGCAACUCUCGUCCUUAAAGUUUCAGAUUUAAUUUCCUGUCAGUGAUGCCGGUAAUGAAGUAUAACUAUAAGUCUAGUACAUUCCCUGUAUUUUGCAAUAUCUCUCGAAUUUUACUAGAAGUGACUAUUUCUCAUAUUUUGCAAUAUUUUUGUAACAUAUUUUGCAAUACUCAUGGAUUACUUGUUGAUUUGUGCUAAAAAUAUGUUUUUGAUAGACAUUUUCUUUAAUCAUUAAUUUUGAGGCGGAGUACUUUUUGCUAUUAGGGUUGUAGAAAUGAAACAAUAAGCUUGGUUUUAAUUGCACUUGCUGCAGUAGAAAGUUUGGAUUUGAGAUUCCAUUUACAUGUUGUAGGUGUUAUUUAUUUUUAUUAAUUAUUGAAAGAGUUUGGUUAUCCUAUUUUGGUGAUGCUUUGUUAAUGCUAUAGAGACUUCCCAUUAUUUGUUAUAGAAUUCAUAGGUCAUGAUAAACCGUCAAUCUCUAUAGUUAUGAAAUCCAUCCAUCAAGAUUAACUAUCAUUUUUUUACAGUUAAAAUUAUAAAAUUAUCGAUAUUACUUACUUUUUCUUGACAAUUUUGUUCAUAUGCCUCGUUUGAUUCAACUGCUCUUCUUCAUGUAUUAGAUAUUAAAUGUACGAUAUAUCAUCAUCUUAUUUCUUCACGUUACCAUUUUUGCAGAUAAAUUUCAAAUUCCUUUUGUUGGAAAAUCAAUUGCACACAUACAUUCCUAUUGAUAUUUGUGAUGUACUUGCAUUCACAUUUUAUUAUUUAGUUUGGAUAACAUUGUACAUUUAUUGUUGAUUUGUACAUUUAUUGUUGAUUUCAUCUAGUAUCUAGUCCAUAUAUAUGUAUAUGCAUUUAUUCCAGCAAUUUAUUCCCAUUUCGUUAACUAUAUGAUUGAGUUAAUUUUAAAUUGUAAAUGACGUUUUCAGUGAGAUUUCAUGUUUCAAUGAAAAAUGUUUACUAGGCCAUCCCAAAAUGAGAUAAAUUGUGUUAGAUUUUCGUUGAAUUUGACAUAUACUGUUUUUGCAAGUAUAUUGAAAUCAAUACUGUUAGGGUUAAAUUUCAAUUUUCAAAUUGUAGUGACCAUUAUGUGUCUUCCUAUAUUUUUUACAAACAUCAUGUUAAUUGUGUGUCCGAUCAAUUAUUAUGUUCGAAGAAUUUGUCUAGUUUACUACUCACCAACUACGAAAUGUCGAGAAAAUCAUAGUACAUCUAUAGUGAAUUAUCAACAGAUGACUAAUUCUUGAUAGAUCAUUCAUGAGACUAAUCUAUCGAGAUGAAUUAUCGUUCUCGAUAGUUAGUUUCAAUUAUUCUUGAUAGAUGACUGAAUCUUGACAGGUUAAUUGAGUCAUCUGACAAUAUUAAUUGUUGUUAUCGACAAAUGACUACUUCUCGAUAGAUUAGUUUUGCAGUCAUCAAUCGACAUAUCCAACUUUGGUUCAUCUAAAUAUUAUAUAUGUGUUUUAAAUUAACAUGUAUGAAUUAUUAUAAUCUGACCUUUUUUACUUUCUUAUUGUACCUUAUUCUUGCAAAUGAAUUUUGAAUUCUAAGCUCCUGAAAAUGCAGGCUUGAGAGCCGACAUUUCUCAAAGGAGCAAUUUCAAGUGGACGAAAAUCAUAUUGGAGAAUUUUAACGAUCGACAAUGGGAAGAUUUCGGUAACUCAUGCCUUGGGUUCUUAGCCGAGUUACUUGACAUACAAUUCUCAGCCUAAUUACUUCAAUAACUAGUAUUCAGAUUGAUUAGAAUUGAUGAGGCAGAGGAGUUGUGGUCACUAUAUAGGGCACCGACAGGGUUCAAAUUACAAAAAUGUGGUCGUGAUGAGAUUAAAAUGUGGUCUUGCCCCAGAAGGCGAUGAGUUUACUAAAGUCAUGGAAAAAAAUAGAUUUAAGGACAAAUACUUUAAAUCCAUGGAAAAAAUUUCAUGUGCCCAACUGGAUAAGGCUUUUCUUUGAUUGUCGACGCCCUGACUGAUUAAUACAAGUUCGGCAUUGCUUUAAUUAUUGAAGGAAUAUUCAAUGCUUCAAAUAAUAAAUGUAGGAAUCGAUAUUGACACCUUGUCCAUUGUCAACAACUUGGACAUAUUUUUUGAUUACCCUUGGGUAAAGUGGGGUACAAUCGUCUGUUGAGAGGAUUUACGGAUGAUUGAGUAAGGAAAUUUCAUGAGGCAACGCAAAGAAUGAGAAGGAA